GCUCCCGCUUGCAGCGCAUCAGCACGGUCAUCCAACUCCGACAACUUCUGAUCUCUUUCCAGCACCUUGUCCACAUUCACCCUCAUGAUGUCAACAACCUCAUCUACUUGAUGUUGAGUUUGCUGAAGUCGACGGUUACUGCCAGCAGGCACAUUUGUGUUUCCAGGGACAUUGGCUGACAUCCUGCCGCGGGGACGGAGCCGCUGCGCACCCAAA
rnacentral:lncRNA from 1 species